rnacentral:rRNA from 1 species
UGACCUCGGAUCAGGUAGGAAUACCCGCCGAACUUAA